rnacentral:lncRNA from 1 species
CUUAAGCCCUGAACAGUCCAAUAUUCAAGUGGCACAUUGUAAAGUCGAACCCACACCGGGAUCUUCCGCAUAUCUUCUUUGGCCAACUUCAAGUUAGGUUGCCACCGUUUAAGCACUAGCGGCCUAUUCACCAUAUGCCAAGGAGCCUUGUCUAGGAUGUUGCAUGCAUGCUCAACGCUAUCAAACUUGAAGAAGAAGAAGCCACUUUCAGAAGCUAGAACCACUUUCAAA